GAUGAAGAACGUAGCGAAAUGCGAUAAGUAAUGUGAAUUGCAGAAUUCAGUGAAUCAUCGAAUCUUUGAACGCACCUUGCACCCUUUGGCAUUCCGAAGGGUAUGCUCGUUUGAGUGUCAUUGUACUCUCACACUCUCCGAUCCUAUGGAUUCGGGGAGCGGUGGACUUGGGUGUUGCUGCCUUUCCUUGUGGCUCACCUCAAAUGUGUCAGUGCACCUCUUGGUUGGACAUAGUACGGCGUGAUAAGUGUCUUCGCCGGCACCUCGCAAGAGGGUGGCCGAUCGGGAGCUCUGUGCUUUCAAACCGUCUUCGGACAAUUUCUGACAACUUGACCUCAAAUCGAGUAGGACUACCCGCUGAACUUAAGCAUAUAAUAAGCGGAGGA
rnacentral:misc_RNA from 1 species